rnacentral:rRNA from 1 species
AGGCUAAUACGUGAACGUACACCCYGGCUGACGGGCAACCGGAGGCUGGGGGCCGUGCGAGCUUUUACCAAGGGAUUCCACUGGGAAUAGUMGCACAGCCUGACCUCCAUACCAAACAGUCCCUGAUGACCGAUCCCGCAAGGGUGAGGAAACCGGGUGCCUGGGGGGSUCUUGCAAGGUGCUUCUGACCUAUCAACUAGAUGGCAGCGUAACGGACAUGCUAUGGUGACAACGGUAC